CAGGCCUAACACAUGCAAGUCGAGCGGCAGCGGGAAAGUAGCAAGCUACUUUUGCCGGCGAGCGGCGGACGGGUGAGUAACGCGUGGGUAACCUGCCUUGUACAGGGGGAUAACACAGGGAAACUUGUGCUAAUACCGCAUAAUAUCACGAGAGGACAUCCUUUUGUGACCAAAGGAGCAAUCCGGUAUAAGAUGGACCCGCGUCCGAUUAGCUAGUUGGUGGUGUAACGGACCACCAAGGCGACGAUCGGUAGCCGAACUGAGAGGUUGAUCGGCCACAUUGGGACUGAGACACGGCCCAGACUCCUACGGGAGGCAGCAGUGGGGAAUAUUGCGCAAUGGGGGAAACCCUGACGCAGCAACGCCGCGUGAAGGAUGAAGGUUUUCGGAUUGUAAACUUCUUUAGUCGGGGACGAAAAAAAUGACGGUACCCGAAGA
rnacentral:rRNA from 1 species